UGAUACUAUCCCUCUUACAUACCACCUGUGAUUCCAACUUCACUACCACCUUAUUCUCCAGCCUCACGUCAUUAAACUUGCAUUCCAAAUACUCUAUCUUGCUCCUACUCAACCUGAACCCUUUAGACUUAAGAGUUUGUCUCCACACCUCUAAUUUAUCAUUCACACCCCCCGUAUCUCAUCAAUCAAAACUACAUCAUCUGCAAAAAGCAUACACCAAG
rnacentral:lncRNA from 1 species